rnacentral:rRNA from 1 species
UACGUAGGGGGCAAGCGUUGUCCGGAAUCAUUGGGCGUAAAGAGCGUGUAGGCGGCCAGAAAAGUCCGCUGUGAAAACUCGAGGCUCAACUUCGAGCUGUCGGUGGAAACUUUCUGGCUAGAGUCCGGAAGAGGAGAAUGGAAUUCCUGGUGUAGCGGUGAAAUGCGCAGAUAUCAGGAAGAACACCCGUGGCGAAGGCGGUUCUCUGGGUCGUACCUGACGCUGAGGCGCGAAAGCGUGGGGAGCGAACGGG